rnacentral:rRNA from 1 species
GACGAACGCUGGCGGCGUGCUUCAUACAUGCAAGUCGAACGAGAAGCUGACUUCGGUCAGUGGAAAGUGGCGGACGGGUGAGUAAUAUGUAGGAAAUCUGCCUUUAGGAGGGGGACAACAGAGGGAAACUUCUGCUAAUACCCCAUAUGAGCGUAGCUGAAAUGCUAUUCUUGAAAACUCCGGUGCCUAAAGAUGGGCCUGCAUCUGAUUAGCUAGUUGGUAGUGUAAUGGACUACCAAGGCGACGAUCAGUAGCUGGUUUGAGAGGAUGAUCAGCCACAAUGGGACUGAGACACGGCCCAUACUCCUACGGGAGGCAGCAGUAGGGAAUUUUGCGCAAGGGGCGAAAGCCUGACGCAGCAACGCCGCGUGAACGAUUAAGCCCUUCGGGGUGUAAAGUUCUGUCAGUGGGGACGAAACUUGACGGUACCCACAGAGGAAGCACCGGCUAACUCCGUG